rnacentral:rRNA from 1 species
CCCUUCGAUGUUCUGGGCCGCACGCGCGCUACACUGAUGCGUUCAGCAAGCUCUCUAACCUUCACCGAUAGGUGUGGGUAAUCUUCUGAAAGCGCAUCGUGUUUGGGCUAGAUGAUUGCAAUUAUUCAUCUUCAACGAGGAAUACCUAGUAAACGCAAGUCAUCAACUUGCAUUGAUUACGUCCCUGCCCUUUGUACACACCGCCCGUCGCUCCUACCGAUUGAACGAUCCGGUGAAAACUCAGGACUGAUGACUGACCAGCGGUUCGCCGUUGCCAGUUUCGGGAAUUUGUUUGAACCUUAUCGUUUAGAGGAAGGAGAAGUCGUAACA